rnacentral:rRNA from 1 species
CCAAUAGCGUAUAUUAAAGUUGUUGCAGUUAAAAAGCUCGUAGUUGAAUUUUAGAUCUGGCCGGGCGGUCCGUCUUUGGCGAGUACUGUCCUGUGUCGGGUCUUCCUUCUGGUGAACCAGUAUGUCCUUUAUUGGGUGUGCCGGGGAGCCAGGACCAUUACCUUGAAAAAAUUAGAGUGUUUAAAGCGGGCUAUUGCUUGAAUAGAUUAGCAUGGAAUAAUAGAAUAGGACGUUGUGGUUCUAUUUUGUUGGUUUCUAGGACCACCGUAAUGAUUAAUAGGGAUAGUUGGGGGCAUUAGUAUUCAAUUGUCAGAGGUGAAAUUCUUGGAUUUAUUGAAGACUAACUACUGCGAAAGCAUUUGCCAAGGAUGUUUUCAUUAAUCAAGAACGAAAGUUAGGGGAUCGAAGACGAUCAGAUACCGUCGUAGUCUUAACCAUAAACUAUGCCGACUAGGAAUCGGGCGACGUUAUUUUAAUGACUCGCUCGGCGCCUUAUG